GACGAACGCUGGCGGCGUGCUUAACACAUGCAAGUCGAACGGAAAGGCCCUGCUUUUGUGGGGUGCUCGAGUGGCGAACGGGUGAGUAACACGUGAGUAACCUGCCCUUGACUUUGGGAUAACUUCAGGAAACUGGGGCUAAUACCGGAUAGGAGCUCCUGCUGCAUGGUGGGGGUUGGAAAGUUUCGGCGGUUGGGGAUGGACUCGCGGCUUAUCAGCUUGUUGGUGGGGUAGUGGCUUACCAAGGCUUUGACGGGUAGCCGGCCUGAGAGGGUGACCGGCCACAUUGGGACUGAGAGACGGCCCAGACUCCUACGGGAGGCAGCAGUGGGGAAUAUUGCACAAGGGGCGGAAGCCUGAUGCAGCAACGCCGCGUGCGGGAUGACGGCCUUCGGGUGGUAAACCGCUUUCGCCGGUGACGAAGCGUGAGGGACGGUAAUGGGUAAAGAAACACCGGCUAACUACGU
rnacentral:rRNA from 1 species